GACAGAGGGGGCAAGCGUUGUCCGGAUUUACUGGGUGUAAAGGGCGCGCAGGCGGGAUAAAAAGUCAGUGGUGAAAUCCUACAGCUUAACUGUAGAACUGCCUUUGAUACUUUUAUUCUUGAGUUCGGGAGAGAGAGACGGAAUUCCAGGUGUAGUGGUGAAAUACGUAGAUAUCUGGAAGAACACCAGUUGCGAAGGCGGUCUCUUGGUCCGAUACUGACGCUGAGGAGCGAAAGCGUGGGGAGCAAACAGG
rnacentral:rRNA from 1 species